rnacentral:rRNA from 1 species
AUUGAACUCUCGCGGCAGGCCUAACACAUGCAAGUCGAACGAGUGGCGGACGGGUGAGUAAUGUCUGGGAAACUGCCUGAUGGAGGGGGAUAACUACUGGAAACGGUAGCUAAUACCGCAUACCAUCGGAUGUGCCCAGAUGGGAUUAGCUAGUAGGUGGGGUAAAGGCUCACUGAGGCGACGAUCCCUAGCUGGUCUGAGAGGAUGACCAGCAACACUAGAACGGAUACACGGCCCAGACUCCUACGUGAUGCAGCAGGGGGGAAUAUUGCACAUUGGGCGCAAUCCUGAUGCAGCCAUGCCGCGUGUAUGAAGAAGGCCUUCGGGUUGUAAAGUACUUUCAGCGGGGAGGCGUUACCCGCAGAAGAAGCACCGGCUAACUCCGUGCCAGCCGCCGCGGUAAUAC